AAGGAUUUAAGUUAACUAAACUAAAAGCCUUCAAAGCUUUAAAUAAAGUAUUAUACUUUAAGCCUUA
rnacentral:tRNA from 1 species